GGUGCUUGCAUCAUGAUUUACAUUUGAGUGAGUGGCGAACUGGUGAGUAACACGUGGGAAACCUGCCCAGAAGCGGGGGAUAACACCUGGAAACAGAUGCUAAUACCGCAUAACAACUUGGACCGCAUGGUCCGAGUUUGAAAGAUGGCUUCGGCUAUCACUUUUGGAUGGUCCCGCGGCGUAUUAGCUAGAUGGUGGGGUAACGGCUCACCAUGGCAAUGAUACGUAGCCGACCUGAGAGGGUAAUCGGCCACAUUGGGACUGAGACACGGCCCAAACUCCUACGGGAGGCAGCAGUAGGGAAUCUUCCACAAUGGACGAAAGUCUGAUGGAGCAACGCCGCGUGAGUGAAGAAGGGUUUCGGCUCGUAAAACUCUGUUGUUAAAGAAGAACAUAUCUGAGAGUAACUGUUCAGGUAUUGACGGUAUUUAACCAGAAAGCCACGGCUAACUACGUGCCAGCAGCCGCGGUAAUACGUAGGUGGCAAGCGUUGUCCGGAUUUAUUGGGCGUAAAGCGAGCGCAGGCGGUUUUUUAAGUCUGAUGUGAAAGCCUUCGGCUCAACCGAAGAAGUGCAUCGGAAACUGGGAAACUUGAGUGCAGAAGAGGACAGUGGAACUCCAUGUGUAGCGGUGAAAUGCGUAGAUAUAUGGAAGAACACCAGUGGCGAAGGCGGCUGUCUGGUCUGUAACUGACGCUGAGGCUCGAAAGUAUGGGUAGCAAACAGGAUUAGAUACCCUGGUAGUCCAUACCGUAAACGAUGAAUGCUAAGUGUUGGAGGGUUUCCGCCCUUCAGUGCUGCAGCUAACGCAUUAAGCAUUCCGCCUGGGGAGUACGGCCGCAAGGCUGAAACUCAAAGGAAUUGACGGGGGCCCGCACAAGCGGUGGAGCAUGUGGUUUAAUUCGAAGCUACGCGAAGAACCUUACCAGGUCUUGACAUACUAUGCAAAUCUAAGAGAUUAGACGUUCCCUUCGGGGACAUGGAUACAGGUGGUGCAUGGUUGUCGUCAGCUCGUGUCGUGAGAUGUUGGGUUAAGUCCCGCAACGAGCGCAACCCUUAUUAUCAGUUGCCAGCAUUAAGUUGGGCACUCUGGUGAGACUGCCGGUGACAAACCGGAGGAAGGUGGGGAUGACGUCAAAUCAUCAUGCCCCUUAUGACCUGGGCUACACACGUGCUACAAUGGAUGGUACAACGAGUUGCGAACUCGCGAGAGUAAGCUAAUCUCUUAAAGCCAUUCUCAGUUCGGAUUGUAGGCUGCAACUCGCCUACAUGAAGUCGGAAUCGCUAGUAAUCGCGGAUCAGCAUGCCGCGGUGAAUACGUUCCCGGGCCUUGUACACACCGCCCGUC
rnacentral:rRNA from 1 species